UACGGGGGGGGCAAGCGUUGUUCGGAAUUACUGGGCGUAAAGGGCUCGUAGGCGGCCAACUCAGUCGGACGUGAAAUCCCUCGGCUUAACCGAGGAAUGGCGUCCGAUACUGGAUGGCUUGAGUUUGGGAGAGGGAUGCGGAAUUCCAGGUGUAGCGGUGAAAUGCGUAGAUAUCUGGAGGAACACCGGUGGCGAAGGCGGCAUCCUGGACCAAUUCUGACGCUGAGUGAGCGAAAGCCAGGGGAGCAAACGGG
rnacentral:rRNA from 1 species